GUGAACGCUGGCGGUAGGCCUAACACAUGCAGGUCGAACGGCAGCACAGUAAGAGCUUGCUCUUACGGGUGGCGAGUGGCGGACGGGUGAGGAAUACAUCGGAAUCUACUUUUUCGUGGGGGAUAACGUAGGGAAACUUACGCUAAUACCGCAUACGACCUACGGGUGAAAGCAGGGGAUCUUCGGACCUUGCGCGAUUGAAUGAGCCGAUGUCGGAUUAGCUAGUUGGCGGGGUAAAGGCCCACCAAGGCGACGAUCCGUAGCUGGUCUGAGAGGAUGAUCAGCCACACUGGAACUGAGACACGGUCCAGACUCCUACGGGAGGCAGCAGUGGGGAAUAUUGGACAAUGGGCGCAAGCCUGAUCCAGCCAUACCGCGUGGGUGAAGAAGGCCUUCGGGUUGUAAAGCCCUUUUGUUGGGAAAGAAAAGCAGCAGGCUAAUACCCCGCUGUUCUGACGGUACCCAAAGAAUAAGCACCGGCUAACUUCGUG
rnacentral:rRNA from 1 species